rnacentral:rRNA from 1 species
AACGAACGCUGGCGGCAGGCUUAACACAUGCAAGUCGAACGCAUCCUUCGGGGUGAGUGGCAGACGGGUGAGUAACGCGUGGGAACGUGCCCUUCAGUUCGGGAUAACCCAGGGAAACUUGGGCUAAUACCGGAUACGUGCGAGAGCAGAAAGAUUUAUCGCUGAAGGAUCGGCCCGCGUCUGAUUAGCUAGUUGGUGGGGUAAUGGCCCACCAAGGCGACGAUCAGUAGCUGGUCUGAGAGGAUGAUCAGCCACAUUGGGACUGAGACACGGCCCAAACUCCUACGGGAGGCAGCAGUGGGGAAUAUUGGACAAUGGGCGCAAGCCUGACCCAGCCAGGCCGCGUGAGUGAUGAAGGCCUUAGGGUUGUAAAGCUCUUUCGUCCGGGACGAUAAUGACGGUACCGGAAGAAGAAGCCCCGGCUAACUUCGUGCCAGCCGCCGCAGUAAAAC